rnacentral:misc_RNA from 1 species
ACACCUCAACUCUCAUGGUUUGCCAUGAUGAGCUUGGACUUUGGGGGUCUUGCUGGCCUGCGGUCAGCUCCUCUCAAAUGAAUCAGCUUGCCAGUGUUUGGUGGCAUCACAGGUGUGAUAACUAUCUACGCUUGUGGUUUUCCACCAGGUAACCUUCAGCGAUGGAGGUUCACUGGAGCUCAUAAAUGUCUCUCCCCAGUGAAGACAGCUUUGUGAAU